rnacentral:rRNA from 1 species
UACGAAGGGGGCUAGCGUUGUUCGGAAUUACUGGGCGUAAAGCGCACGUAGGCGGAUAUUUAAGUCAGGGGUGAAAUCCCAGAGCUCAACUCUGGAACUGCCUUUGAUACUGGGUAUCUCGAGUAUGGAAGAGGUGAGUGGAAUUCCGAGUGUAGAGGUGAAAUUCGUAGAUAUUCGGAGGAACACCAGUGGCGAAGGCGGCUCACUGGCUCGACACUGACGCUGAGGUGCGAAAGCGUGGGGAGCAAACAGG